GACCCUACGGGACGCAGCAGAGGGGAAUAUUGCACAAUGGGGGAAACCCUGAUGCAGCAACGCCGCGUGAGUGAUGACGGCCUUCGGGUUGUAAAGCUCUGUCUUCAGGGACGAUAAUGACGGUACCUGAGGAGGAAGACACGGCUAACUACGUGCCAGCAGCCGCGGUAAUACGUAGGUGGCGAGCGUUGUCCGGAUUUACUGGGCGUAAAGGGAGCGUAGGCGGACUUUUAAGUGAGAUGUGAAAUACUCGGGCUCAACUUGAGUGCUGCAUUUCAACCUGGAAGACUAGCGUGCAGGAGAGG
rnacentral:rRNA from 1 species